rnacentral:rRNA from 1 species
CCCCACUGCUAUCGGGAUAGGACUAAGACAUGCUAGUCGAGUGAUUCAGGCAAAACGAGUCACGGCACACAGCUCAGUAACACGUGGCUAAUCUGCCCUUAGGACGAGAACAACCCCGGGAAACUGGGGCUAACUCUCGAUAGGCGAAGAACUCUGGAAUGAGUCUUUACCUAAACAGUGCAACGUUAUCCUCGUUGCAUCGCCUAAGGAUGAGGCCGCGACCGAUCAGGUUGUUGGCGAGGUAAUGGCUCACCAAGCCUUUUACCGGUGCGGGCCGUGAGAGCGGGAGCCCGGAGAUGGGCACUGAGACAAGGGCCCAGGCCCUACGGGGCGCAGCAGUCGCGAAAACUUUGCAAUAAGCGAAAGCUUGACAGGGCUAUCCCGAGUGCCAUCCGCUGAGGAAGGCUUUUACCCAGUCUAGAACGCUGGGGGAAUAAGGAGAGGGCAAGUCUGGUGUCAGCCGCCGCGGUAAUACCAGCUCUCCGAGUGGUGUGGAUGUUUGUUGGGCCUAAAGCAUCCGUAGCUGGCUAGGUCAGUCCCUUGUUAAAUCCACCGAAUUAAUCGUUGGAUUGCGGGGGAUACUGCUUGGCUAGGGGACGAGAGAGGCAGACGGUAUUUUCGGGGUAGGGGUGAAAUCCUAUAAUCCCGGGAAGACCACCAGUGGCGAAGGCUGUCUGCUAGAGCGCGCCCGACGGUGAGGGAUGAAAGCUGGGGGAGCGAACCGGAUUAGAUACCCGGGUAGUCCCAGCUGUAAACGAUGCAGACUAGGUGUUUGGACGGCCACGUGCCGUUCUAGUGCCGCAGGGAAGCUGUUAAGUCUGCCGCCUGGGGAGUACGAUCGCAAGAUUGAAACUUAAAGGAAUUGGCGGGGGAGCACCACAAGGGGUGAAGCUUGCGGUUU